rnacentral:piRNA from 1 species
UUCUUCUCUUUUUCUGCCAAG